rnacentral:rRNA from 1 species
AUGAUGCUGCACCCCAAGGCGAUACAGGACCUGUGCCUCGACUUCAAGAUCAUGGUCAACACGCUCCCGGACUGCAAGCGCUCCCAGCGCGCGCACCAGGCGGUGGACACGCUCCUGGCGACCGUCGGCGCCGACAACCGCGCCGUCUGGCUCACGGGGCACUCCCUCGGCGCGUCGCUGGCGCUGGACGUCGGGAGGGCCAUGAUGUCGGAGCAGGGGUUCAGCCGGCCGACCUUCCUCUUCAACCCGCCGCAGGUGUCGCUGGCCCCGGCGAUCAACAGGCUGCUCCCGUCCGAGGGGCUGAGGAAGGACCUGUACGCCACGAGCAACCUCGUCAAGGCCGGCCUCGGGCUGGUCCUGAGCCCGCACCGGAAGCGCAUGGAGAAGCUGUUCGAGCAGCUGUCGGCGUGGGAGCCGAAGCUGUACGUGCACGACAGGGACCCCAUCUGCCAGGGCUUCAUCGACUACUUCGAGCAGCGGGAGCAGUUGGAGGAGCGCUUCCAUGGCGUGGCCAAGUCGGCGAGGACACUGUCGUACCGUGACAUGCUCUUCUCCGCGGUUGGCAAGGAGAAGGAGCGGCCGCACCUCCUGCCGUCGGCGACGCUCUGGAGGAACUCCACUACUCCAGCAUGGACAGCGACGCGCACGGACUCCACCAGUGGUGGAAACCCAACGGCGACCUCAGAUUGA